UACAGAGGUCUCAAGCGUUUGUUCGGAUUCAUUGGGCGUAAAGGGUGCGUAGGCGGCGCGGUAAGUCGGGUGUGAAAUCUCGGAGCUUAACUCCGAAACUGCAUUCGAUACUGCCGUGCUUGAGGACUGGAGAGGAGACUGGAAUUUACGGUGUAGCGGUGAAAUGCGCAGAUAUCAGGAGGAACACCGGUGGCGAAGGCGGGUCUCUGGGCCGAUACUGACGCUGGAGGAGCGAAAGCGUGGGGAGCGAACAGG
rnacentral:rRNA from 1 species